rnacentral:rRNA from 1 species
UACGUAGGGUGCAAGCGUUGUCCGGAAUUAUUGGGCGUAAAGAGCUCGUAGGCGGUCUGUCGCGUCGGAUGUGAAAAUCCAGGGCUCAACCCUGGACCUGCAUUCGAUACGGGCAGACUAGAGUUCGGCAGGGGAGACUGGAAUUCCUGGUGUAGCGGUGAAAUGCGCAGAUAUCAGGAGGAACACCGGUGGCGAAGGCGGCGAUCUGGGUCGAUACUGACGCUGAGGUGCGAAAGCGUGGGGAGCAAACAGG